rnacentral:rRNA from 1 species
ACGGGUGGAGUAACGCGUGAGGCAACCUGCCCCGGAGUGCGGAAUAACGUCUGGAAACGGACGCUAAUACCGCAUGAUACACAGAGGACGCAUGGACUUUGUGUCAAAGAGAAAUCGCUCCUGGAUGGGCUCGCGUCCGAUUAGUUAGUUGGUGAGGUAAUGGCUCACCAAGACCGCGAUCGGUAGCCGGACUGAGAGGUUGAACGGCCACAUUGGAACUGAGAAACGGGUCCAGACGUCCUACCGGGAGGCAGCAGUGGGGAAUAUUGGGCAAUGGGCGAAAAAGCCUGACCCAGCGACGCCGCGUGAGGGAAGAAGGUCUUCGGAUUGUAAACCUCUGUUGACAGGGAAGAAAAAAUGACGGUACCUGUCGAGGAAGCCACGGCUAACUACGUGCCAGCCGCUGC